UCUUUACGGAGAGUUUGAUCCUGGCUCAGGACGAACGCUGGCGGCGUGCUUAACACAUGCAAGUCGAACGAUGAACACCGGAGCUUGCUCUGGUGGGAUUAGUGGCGAACGGGUGAGUAACACGUGAGCAAUCUGCCCCCGACUCUGGGAUAAGCGUUGGAAACGACGUCUAAUACCGGAUACGACACCUCCUGGCAUCAGGUGGGUGUGGAAAGAAUUUCGGUUGGGGAUGAGCUCGCGGCCUAUCAGCUUGUUGGUGAGGUAAUGGCUCACCAAGGCGACGACGGGUAGCCGGCCUGAGAGGGUGACCGGCCACACUGGGACUGAGACACGGCCCAGACUCCUACGGGAGGCAGCAGUGGGGAAUAUUGCACAAUGGGCGCAAGCCUGAUGCAGCAACGCCGCGUGGGGGACGAAGGCCUUCGGGUUGUAAACCCCUUUUAGCAGGGAAGAAGCGCAAGUGACGGUACCUGCAGAAAAAGCACCGGCUAACUACGUGCCAGCAGCCGCGGUAAUACGUAGGGUGCAAGCGUUGUCCGGAAUUAUUGGGCGUAAAGAGCUCGUAGGCGGUGUGUCGCGUCUGCUGUGAAAAUCCAAGGCUCAACCUUGGACCUGCAGUGGGUACGGGCACACUAGAGUGCGGUAGGGGAGAUUGGAAUUCCUGGUGUAGCGGUGGAAUGCGCAGAUAUCAGGAGGAACACCAAUGGCGAAGGCAGAUCUCUGGGCCGUAACUGACGCUGAGGAGCGAAAGCGUGGGGAGCGAACAGGAUUAGAUACCCUGGUAGUCCACGCCGUAAACGGUGGGAACUAGAUGUGGGGUCCGUUCCACGGAUUCCGUGUCGCAGCUAACGCAUUAAGUUCCCCGCCUGGGGAGUACGGCCGCAAGGCUAAAACUCAAAGGAAUUGACGGGGGCCCGCACAAGCGGCGGAGCAUGCGGAUUAAUUCGAUGCAACGCGAAGAACCUUACCAAGGCUUGACAUAUAGAGGAAAAGUGCAGAAAUGUACUCCCCGCAAGGUCUCUAUACAGGUGGUGCAUGGUUGUCGUCAGCUCGUGUCGUGAGAUGUUGGGUUAAGUCCCGCAACGAGCGCAACCCUCGUCCUAUGUUGCCAGCACGUAAUGGUGGGAACUCAUGGGAGACUGCCGGGGUCAACUCGGAGGAAGGUGGGGAUGACGUCAAAUCAUCAUGCCCCUUAUGUCUUGGGCUUCACGCAUGCUACAAUGGCCGGUACAGAGGGCUGCAAUAUCGCAAGAUGGAGCGAAUCCCACAAAGCCGGUCUCAGUUCGGAUUGAGGUCUGCAACUCGACCUCAUGAAGUUGGAGUCGCUAGUAAUCGUGGAUCAGCAACGCCACGGUGAAUACGUUCCCGGGCCUUGUACACACCGCCCGUCAAGUCAUGAAAGUCGGUAACACCCGAAGCCGGUGGCCUAACCUUUUGGAAGGAGCCGUCGAAGGUGGGAUCGGUGAUUAGGACUAAGUCGUAACAAGGUAGCCGUACCGGAAGGUGCGGCUGGAUCACCUCCUUUCU
rnacentral:rRNA from 1 species